CCUACGGUGGGCAGCAGUGGGGAAUAUUGCACAAUGGGGGAAACCCUGAUGCAGCGACGCCGCGUGAGUGAAGAAGUAUCUCGGUACGUAAAGCUCUAUCAGCAGGGAAGAAAAUGACGGUACCUGACUAAGAAUCCCCGGCUAACUACGUGCCAGCAUCCGCGGUAAUACGUAGGGGGCAAGCGUUAUCCGGAUUUACUGGGUGUAAAGGGAGCGUAGACGGCAGCACAAGUCUGGAGUGAAAUCCCGGGGCUUAACCCCGGAACUGCUUUGGAAACUGUGCGGCUGGAGUGCAGGAGGGGUAAGCGGAAUGCCUAGUGUAGCGGUGAAAUGCGUAGAUAUUAGGAAGAACACCGGUGGCGAAGGCGGCGUACUGGACCGUAACUGACGUUGAGGCUCGAAAGCGUGGGGAGCAAACAGGAUUAGAUACCCGGGUAGUC
rnacentral:rRNA from 1 species